rnacentral:rRNA from 1 species
GACGAACGCUGGCGGCGUGCUUAACACAUGCAAGUCGAACGAAGAGCGAUGGAAGCUUGCUUCUAUCAAUCUUAGUGGCGAACGGGUGAGUAACGCGUAAUCAACCUGCCCUUCAGAGGGGGACAACAGUUGGAAACGACUGCUAAUACCGCAUACGAUCUAAUCUCGGCAUCGAGGAUAGAUGAAAGGUGGUCUCUACAUGUAAGCUAUCACUGAAGGAGGGGAUUGCGUCUGAUUAGCUAGUUGGAGGGGUAACGGCCCACCAAGGCGAUGAUCAGUAGCCGGUCUGAGAGGAUGAACGGCCACAUUGGGACUGAGACACGGCCCAGACUCCUACGGGAGGCAGCAGUGGGGAAUCUUCCGCAAUAGACGAAAGUCUGACGGAGCAACGCCGCGUGAGUGAUGACGGCCUUCGGGUUGUAAAGCUCUGUUAAUCGGGACGAAAGGCCUUCUUGCGAACAGUUAGAAGGAUUGACGGUACCGGAAUAGAAAGCCACGGCUAACUACGUG